rnacentral:rRNA from 1 species
AUGCCAGCAAAGGAUUUGGAGGAAAUAAAGAAGCAGAUCAAGGAGUUACUGGAUAAAGGCUAUAUUCGCCCAAGUUCGUCACCUUGGGGAUCACCAGUACUUCUAGUGGAAAAGAAAGAUGGAUCGCUGAGGAUGGUUGUUGAUUACCGAGGAUUGAAUGAAGUGACCAUCAAAAACAAGUAUCCACUGCCGAUGAUCAAUGAUUUGUUUGACCGCCUACAAGGAGCUAAAGUAUUCUCCAAGAUCGAUCUACGAUCAGGAUACCAUCAGUUAAAGAUUCGAGAGCAGGAUAUACCCAAGACGGCUUUUACCACCAGAUAUGGAUUGUAUGAGUAUACCGUUAUGUCAUUUGGACUGACUAAUGCACCUGCCUAUUUCAUGAACCUGAUGAACAAAGUGUUUAUGGAGUUUUUGGAUAAGUUCGUCGUGGUGUUCAUUGAUGAUAUUUUAAUCUUUUCCAAGAACGAGGAAGAGCAUGAGGAGCAUUUGCGAUUGGUACUUGAGAAGCUCAGAGAACAUCAGUUAUAUGCCAAGUUCAGCAAGUGUGAAUUUUGG